GACGAACGUUGGCGGCGUGCUUAACACAUGCAAGUCGAACGGAAAGGCCCUGCUUUUGUGGGGUGCUCGAGUGGCGAACGGGUGAGUAACACGUGAGUAACCUGCCCUUGACUUUGGGAUAACUUCAGGAAACUGGGGCUAAUACCGGAUAGGAGCUCCUGCUGCAUGGUGGGGGUUGGAAAGUUUCGGCGGUUGGGGAUGGACUCGCGGCUUAUCAGCUUGUUGGUGGGGUAGUGGCUUACCAAGGCUUUGACGGGUAGCCGGCCUGAGAGGGUGACCGGCCACAUUGGGACUGAGAUACGGCCCAGACUCCUACGGGAGGCAGCAGUGGGGAAUAUUGCACAAUGGGCGGAAGCCUGAUGCAGCAACGCCGCGUGCGGGAUGACGGCCUUCGGGUUGUAAACCGCUUUCGCCUGUGACGAGGCGUGAGUGACGGUAAUGGGUAAAGAAGCACCGGCUAACUACGUG
rnacentral:rRNA from 1 species